rnacentral:rRNA from 1 species
GAUGAACGCUAGCGACAGGCUUAACACAUGCAAGUCGAGGGGCAGCACAGGUAGCAAUACCGGGUGGCGACCGGCGCACGGGUGAGUAACGCGUAUGCAACUUACCUAUCAGAGGGGGAUAACCCGGCGAAAGUCGGACUAAUACCGCAUGAAGCAGGGGCCCCGCAUGGGGAUAUUUGCUAAAGAUUCAUCGCUGAUAGAUAGGCAUGCGUUCCAUUAGGCAGUUGGCGGGGUAACGGCCCACCAAACCGACGAUGGAUAGGGGUUCUGAGAGGAAGGUCCCCCACAUUGGUACUGAGACACGGACCAAACUCCUACGGGAGGCAGCAGUGAGGAAUAUUGGUCAAUGGCCGAGAGGCUGAACCAGCCAAGUCGCGUGAGGGAUGAAGGUUCUAUGGAUCGUAAACCUCUUUUAUAAGGGAAUAAAGUGCGGGACGUGUCCCGUUUUGUAUGUACCUUAUGAAUAAGGAUCGGCUAACUCCGUGCCAGCAGCCGCGGUAAUACGGAGGAUCCGAGCGUUAUCCGGAUUUAUUGGGUUUAAAGGGUGCGUAGGCGGCCUUUUAAGUCAGCGGUGAAAGUCUGUGGCUCAACCAUAGAAUUGCCGUUGAAACUGGGAGGCUUGAGUAUGUUUGAGGCAGGCGGAAUGCGUGGUGUAGCGGUGAAAUGCAUAGAUAUCACGCAGAACCCCGAUUGCGAAGGCAGCCUGCCAAGCCAUUACUGACGCUGAUGCACGAAAGCGUGGGGAUCAAACAGGAUUAGAUACCCUGGUAGUCCACGCAGUAAACGAUGAUCACUAGCUGUUUGCGAUACACUGUAAGCGGCACAGCGAAAGCGUUAAGUGAUCCACCUGGGGAGUACGCCGGCAACGGUGAAACUCAAAGGAAUUGACGGGGGCCCGCACAAGCGGAGGAACAUGUGGUUUAAUUCGAUGAUACGCGAGGAACCUUACCCGGGUUUGAACGCAUUCGGACCGAGGUGGAAACACCUUUUCUAGCAAUAGCCGUUUGCGAGGUGCUGCAUGGUUGUCGUCAGCUCGUGCCGUGAGGUGUCGGCUUAAGUGCCAUAACGAGCGCAACCCUUGCCACUAGUUACUAACAGGUAAAGCUGAGGACUCUGGUGGGACUGCCAGCGUAAGCUGCGAGGAAGGCGGGGAUGACGUCAAAUCAGCACGGCCCUUACAUCCGGGGCGACACACGUGUUACAAUGGCGUGGACAAAGGGAGGCCACCUGGCGACAGGGAGCGAAUCCCCAAACCACGUCUCAGUUCGGAUCGGAGUCUGCAACCCGACUCCGUGAAGCUGGAUUCGCUAGUAAUCGCGCAUCAGCCAUGGCGCGGUGAAUACGUUCCCGGGCCUUGUACACACCGCCCGUCAAGCCAUGGGAGCCGGGGGCACCUGAAGUCCGUAACCGCGAGGAUCGGCCUAGGGUAAAACUGG